ACAGAGCGGGAAGGAACAGGCUUUUGGAUUGGCCCCAUGGAGAGCGGGAAGCUGAGGAGGCGGGGUUACUGCUCUGAGGAGAGUGUGUGAGGCUGCUGCAUGGAGAGUCAUCGUCCAGAGAGCCCUGAAGGGGUGAUUAGCGGCGAAGGGUGAGCGGUCGCAUGUGGAGUCUGCACCCGACAGUGGAGUGAGACGCCAGGGAUAGAAGCGUCGCAGCCGCUGAGAGAGAAUCGCUGACAGGAAUCAGGUCAGCAUGUGAGCCGCAAGUGAAGCAGCAGGGAGUCCCUGUCACCACAGCUGGGAAGCACUGAAGAGGCUGCCUGACAGUGAGGGGGUGGAGUGCAGCUGUGGGGAACACACCUUAUUGGUGAAAAUAAAAUACCAGUCACUGUCCAAACGUGUGGUGACUUGAUGGUCUGGGGUCUGUUCGGUGGUCCUCAUCCUUCUGCCAGGUGUCCAGAGGUGACAAGAAAGCAGAGUCCAAGAAGACUGGGACCGACAUCAUCAGGUGAAAUUAAGUCAUCAGAGGGUAAUAUGCUGAAAGAAGUGAGAGAGACAGCAGCGCUCUGGAUAAAACAAAGAAUACCUAAUUACCAUGCAAAGCACAACAUCCUUCAGAUGUGAUGAGAAAUGUGGCUGCGUGGAAAGCCAGUCUUCAAGACAUUUCACAAUA